rnacentral:tRNA from 1 species
GGGGAUGUAGCUUAGUGGUAGAGUGCUUGCCUAACAUGUGCAAGGUCCUAGGCUCCAUCCCCA